rnacentral:rRNA from 1 species
UACGAAGGGGGCUAGCGUUGUUCGGAAUUACUGGGCGUAAAGCGCGCGCAGGCGGCUAUCCAAGUCAGUGGUGAAAGCCCGGAGCUCAACUCCGGAACUGUCAUUGAAACUGUUUAGCUUGAGUAUGAGAGAGGUGAGUGGAAUUCCCAGUGUAGAGGUGAAAUUCGUAGAUAUUGGGAAGAACACCGGUGGCGAAGGCGGCUCACUGGCUCAUUACUGACGCUCAGGCGCGACAGCGUGGGGAUCAAACAGG